GAGGGGCCCCUCUCGGGUUACCGAAUUCAGACAAACUCCGAAUGCCAAUUAAUUUAACUUGGGAGUCAGAACAUGGGUGAUAAGGUCCGUGUUCGAAAGGGAAACAGCCCAGACCACCAGCUAAGGUCCCAAAAUAUAUGUUAAGUGGAAAAGGAUGUGGCGUUGCCCAGACAACUAGGAUGUUGGCUUAGAAGCAGCCAUCAUUUAAAGAGUGCGUAAUAGCUCACUAGUCGAGUGACACUGCGCCGAAAAUGUACCGGGGCUAAACAUAUUACCGAAGCUGUGGAUUGUCCUUUGGACAAUGGUAGGAGAGCGUUCUAAGGGCGUUGAAGCAUGAUCGUAAGGACAUGUGGAGCGCUUAGAAGUGAGAAUGCCGGUGUGAGUAGCGAAAGACGGGUGAGAAUCCCGUCCACCGAUUGACUAAGGUUUCCAGAGGAAGGCUCGUCCGCUCUGGGUUAGUCGGGUCCUAAG
rnacentral:rRNA from 1 species